AUGUACUUAUUUAAUAAUUAAUAACUAAUUAUACCUGUAGUAAAAAUAUAAGUGACUCUUUAGUCAUUAGUAAAGGAUAUUGAAAAUAUAUACAGCGAGUUUUUAAAUUUCUAUUAGAGGCGGGAGAACUGCGUCUGCAGGGAUUACCAAAAAAAUACUCAACAAAAAUAUGAUAUGAUACGAUAUAUGUGUAUAAUCGUAUAUGAGUAUACCGGAUUUGUACACCUCAUCACGCAUAAAAUGUUUUAUAAGUAAGCAGGUACCAAGUAAUACUCAGCAUUUUUAAGCCAGGAAAUCUAAAUAAGCGGAUAAGCCAUUAAACAGUGGCUUAACGAUAUAGACGUUGUAACUGAAUAUUUUACUAUAUUUACAUAUUAUUGACGAUUGUAUAAACAUAAUAUAUACUAAGACACUUGUAUCAUAAAGAAUAUUAGAACAUAAUUAACUCCAAAUUAGUAGGUACAUUAUUACAUAAUACACCAUUAGUAGGUACCUAUAUAUCGUCAAAGUGUAUGUAGGUAUACCUAUUCCACUUUAAAAUUCUGUUGUAUUCAUCAUUUAUUUUUUAGAACUACACAAAAUAUUAUAUUUUAUCUAUAAUAAACUGACCGUCUAGAGGCAGCUCGAUGCCUAUAAUAAAUUAUUUACCAUAAUUUAGUAGUGGUGCCGAACCCCUAAAAGUGAAUUCAGGUCAAGUGAAAAUACGGCGACCACAAGUUACUACUUCGUAUGGAAAAACAUUUUAUGAAAGUUUAAUUAUGGUUUUACUUUCAAAAAAAAUAUUAACAAUGCAACACAUUAGUAUUUAUCAGAAAUAUCCAAGUAUGAACAUAAAUGUCUUUGAGAUGUAAAAUAAUAAAAAAAGAUUUUGCUGAAGUGACACAUCUCCCCAUUAAUAUGCAUUAAUCAUGAAAUUAUGAUGUUUAAAGGCGAUUAUAAAAUACAUGGUGUUGAAGUUGAAUAGUUGAUCUGUUUUUGCUGGUCACAAAACUAGAGGGAACUUGUGAUCGAGACUUAAGAGUAAUGUAUCACAAAUGUCAAAGAUUAAGGAAAAACAAUAAUUAUGGACCUCAUGGUUUAAAGGCGAUUAUAAAAUACAUGGUGUUUAAGUUGAAUAGUUGAUCUGUUUUUGCUGGUCACAAAACUAGAGGGAACUUGUGAUCGUGCCUUAAGAGUAAUGUAUCACAAAUGUCAAAGAUUAAGGAAAAACAAUAAUUAUGGACCUCAUGGUAAGAAUGAUCAAUAAAAAAAAAAGUAAAAAUAAUUUUCUUGUAUCACACAUUAUAUAUUUAUAUACAUAUAUUACUAAUAAGUAUUAUGUAUAUUAAUUGAUAUAUUAGACAAAAAGGAUUUUUUUUUUACAUCACAACACAUUUCAACACAUUUAUACAAUAAUAAAAAAAAAAACAAAUGCCACAUACAA